rnacentral:rRNA from 1 species
UGGGGAAUAUUGCACAAUGGGCGAAAGCCUGAUGCAGCGACGCCGCGUGAGGGAUGACGGCCUUCGGGUUGUAAACCUCUUUCAGCAGGGAAGAAGCGAAAGUGACGGUACCUGCAGAAGAAGCGCCGGCUAACUACGUGCCAGCAGCCGCGGUAAUACGUAGGGCGCAAGCGUUGUCCGGAAUUAUUGGGCGUAAAGAGCUCGUAGGCGGUUAGUCGCGUCUGCUGUGAAAACUCGAGGCUCAACCUCGGGCUUGCAGUGGGUACGGGCCGACUAGAGUGCGGUAGGGGUGACUGGAAUUCCUGGUGUAGCGGUGGAAUGCGCGGAUAUCAGGAGGAACACCGAUGGCGAAGGCAGGUCACUGGGCCGCAACUGACGCUGAGGAGCGAAAGCAUGGGGAGCGAACAGGAUUAGAUACCCUGGUAGUCCAUGCCGUAAACGUUGGGCACUAGGUGUGGGGUCCAUUCCACGGAUUCCGUGCCGCAG